CAAUAGCGUAUAUUUAAGUUGUUGCAGUUAAAAAGCUCGUAGUUGGAUUUCGGUUAAGAGCGACCGGUCCGCCGUUUGGUGUGCACUGGUUGGUUUUAACUUCCUGUAGAGGACGUGCUCUGGGUUUAACGACCUGGACUCGGAGUCUACGUGGUUACUUUGAAAAAAUUAGAGUGUUCAAAGCGGGCUUACGCUUGAAUAUUUCAGCAUGGAAUAACACUAUAGGACUCCUGCCCUAUUUCGUUGGUCUCGGGACGGGAGUAAUGAUUAAGAGGAACAGUUGGGGGCAUUCGUAUUUCAUUGUCAGAGGUGAAAUUCUUGGAUUUAUGAAAGACGAACUUCUGCGAAAGCAUUUGCCAAGGAUGUUUUCAUUAA
rnacentral:rRNA from 1 species